ACCAUCUCACAAAUUGCAAUACAAGUCCCAUCCCCAAAUGUAUAUUACACACGGCUGAAAACAAAAUCCCUUAAAUCCUCCACACUUGAUCUCUCAGCCGGCGCUAUGGUCCGACCCGAUCCCUCAAUAUAAGUCAAGGACCCGAUUUUGUACAACCCAAAAGUGGCCGUUUGGUUAAGCGAGUUAUCAAUUGGAUGGGCUUCUGAUUUCUUGGAUUAUAAUGGGUUUUGUCAAGAAAUUAACCGGUGAAGGCACUCGAGAAAAACGGCACAUAAUUGCGUUUUGUUAUGAAGGUAACAAAAAGGUCGAGAAAUAAGGAACUCAGCCCACAAGAAUCGGAACCUAUAAACUCUAUUGUCAAUGCAAGGUACAGUGAAAAAUACAAACUAUCUGGUUGAUUUUGAUGUGAGUUUCAUGCCACUUCAUCAAGCCCAUGCAGUAAUAUUUAUUUUUGAAUUAGCUACUAUGCAAAAUUUUAAUGUCAUUGUAGCUAUCAGAAGCUUGGCUGUAGAAACUCUCCAGAUGUCAACUUUCACAGCUACUAACUUGAUAUUGGCAUAGGUUUUUUUUUUGAAAUUAUAGUUUUAUAAUUAUCAUAGGGUUAGAUAUAGAAUUUCCCUCUUCUCAGUUAUUGUUGAAAAUUGAAGCAAGAAUAUAUAUAAUAUAUCCCAUAUCUUAUCUGGGAACUUUGGCCAGAAUUUGGGAGAAGACAAGACCAAGCAUUCAUGUUGGUGUUUCAAGAACUUGCUGCGGCGGUGGGGGAAAGACUUUGGCGGCAGGAAUAUGGUGGUUUACAGAUUGAAUUCUUUGCAAAUUUGGGGAAGGAGACGGACACUUUUCACUUUGCAUGUUUCUGGGUUUUUUUUUUUUUUUUUUUUUUACUUAUGUUCAUAUAACGAAUUAUGCAUAUACGACGCAGUCACGAAAUCAUAUGCACAGAAAUCUUCACAUGAAAAUUUAAUGUAGAGAUGAAAAAGUUUAAAACUCAUGAUCUGCAACGGGCAGGCCAUCUGGGCAUUGAAAGAAUGUUGGCUUUACUGUAGAAAUCGUAUUACUGGCCGAAGAUGGGUAAUGUAAAAGCAUAUGUAAAAUAGAAAGGAGGAAAGAGGCUGGUUUACUCUAGGCUUUGUCAAUUCUGGACAUGCCCUCGAAGUCAAUUUCCAUGGAUUUCAUUUCAGGUUUCCCAAAGAUGGAUGGGUUCAAGUCCAUUAAGGUGGUAGCGGAGAGAUUCUCAAAAUAUUCAGUUUUCAUUCCAGCUCCGCAUGAGUGCUUGUUGGACGUUGCUACCGAAUUAUUUUUCAAAAAUGUUGUGAAAUACUUUUGAUUGCCAGAAGAUAUUGUGAGUAAUCAGGAUUCACGACUUACAAGCAAAUUCUGGACCUGUUUUGUUUAACAUGAUAUAGACUAAAAUAAAGUUCUCAAUAGUAAAUUAUCCUUUAUCUAAUGGUCAGAGGGGAAGAGUAAAUGCUUUGUUGGAGAAUAGCUCAGAUGCGAUGUUUAAACAAGUCAAAAAUUAGGUUGCCUUGCUUGAUACGGUUCAAUUUUGCUACAAUCUGCAUCAACCUUCCCUUACAGAUUUGUGUUCGGCUGAAUUGACCAUGCAACAUGUGCCUAAGACAUCAUUUGAGAUUGUGAAACAAAGAGGACGCAGUGUGUGUCUAGCUACUUUUCAAGUUGCUCAAGACAAAUACAAGAUGAUCGAGGAAGCUCAGGAUAGUCUUGCAAAGGCUGCCUAGCGCAUGAAAAAGUAUGCUGAUAAAAAUAUGAGGGAUGUUUAGAUUGGGGAUAAAGUGAUGUUAAAGCUAACUCCUCAAAUUUGGAAGAAGAUUAGCAGCAAGACAGUGCAUCUUGGGUUGGUUCAGAAGUAUGGUGGUCCCUUUAAAAUUAUCAAACGUGUGGAAAAUGUGGCAUAUCAAAAGUAGUUUCCUAAUCAUUUCAAGGUUCAUCCUACCUUCCAUAUAAGUUAUCUAAAGACUUUUAAUGAGAGUUUGAUGAGUAAUGGUCAACUACAGGCAAGAGGGCUUCUUCUAUGAUUAGAAAAUAAUAUAAUAAGGAGGUAGCAAAAGAUCUUAGGCCAUCAAAAUAUAGGGGCAAGUAAGAAAAAUAGAAGGACAGAUUACCUUGUCCAAUGGAAAGAUGAUAGUGGAAUUCAUCAACUUAUGAAAGGGAAGUAGACUUAUGGUAGUUUGAGGAUAAGGUAAAGGAGUAUCUUGAUUCUCUUCCGACGUAUAUGUUGAACUCUACUGGUGAGGAAGAUUUGUCAGAGGUUUGUGGUAAAGUAUGUUGAUGGUGCACAUUUCUAGCUAGUCUCAAGUUCAAGGCAAACGUGUGAUUUAGCUUGUGGGCGUGUUGCUUCAUUUUGGCGUUCAUCAAGGUGUUGCACGUUGAUGGAAUUUAGCAAGGCAUGAAGUGAUCCAGCUUGUUGUUCAAUUGAUUAUAGUCUACAAAAUGAGUGUCAAAGACAAGCACAUGUUUGGCACAUGUAUUGGGUAGUUUUUUUUUUUUUUUUUUUUUUAAAGUUUGGGUAGUCGUUGAAAAAAUGCAUGUGAAAAAAUCUGAUAUAUUUCCUUCUUACACAACGUGUCUUUCACAUUUCUCACUGUCUCAGACCUUUUUAUUUCUACUUACUCUUAUGGACCUUUAAGUAAUCCUUUAUCUUUUCCUCUUCUUAUUGCUUUAAUUGGAUCCAUGAAAACAUCUAAUUUCUUGUUUUUUUAAAACUUUGGGCAUUUGCAGGAAAGCAACAAGGAUAACUUCAUGUUCAGAUAUAUCUGCUUCAAACAUGUAUGCACGGACAAUGCUUGUACAACAAUUGAAAAAGGUUGCUUAUUUAUAAUUAUAUUAAGAAAGAGAAUUUUGAAAAAGCCGUUAAAGUUUUUUUCCCCCUUUUUUCUUAAAAAUUUUGCAUUAAUUUAAUUUCUGCAUUAUAAGGGUGAAUGAAUUCCUUUAUUUUAUUACAAAGAGGUUAUCACGCUCCUCCGUUAGGUAGUGAAAUUCUAAUGCCAAAGGCAGGGUUAGUAACUGGAGUGAAGUCAUAACAAGGUAGCCGUACUGAAAGGUGCGGCUGGAUUAGAAAUUGU
rnacentral:lncRNA from 1 species